AUUGAACGCUGGCGGCAGGCCUAACACAUGCAAGUCGAGCGGAGCGGCGGACGGGUGAGGAUUGCCUGGGAAUCUGCCUGGUCGUGGGGGAUAAAGUCCGGUAACGGGCGCUAAUACCGCUUACUAUCAGAUGAGCCUAGGCCGGAUUAGUUAGUUGGCGGGGUAAAGGUCCACCAUGGCGACGAUCCGUAACUGGUGUGAGAGGAUGAGCAGUCACACUGGAACUGAGACACGGUCCAGACUCCUACGGGAGGCAGCAGUGGGGAAUAUGGGACAAUGGGCGAAAGCCUGAUCCAGCCAUGCCGCGUGUAUGAAGAAGGUCUUCGGGUUGUAAAGCACUUUUAGUUGGGAUGCGUUAUCUACAGAAUAAGCACCGGCUAACUUCGUGCCAGCAGCCGCGGUAAUAC
rnacentral:rRNA from 1 species